CAUAUAUUCCCAUUAGACUGAAGUUAAUAAGAACCCACAAACCGAAGCAGAAAUUCAGACUAAAAUUGCAAAUAGGUUUCUAAGACAAUUACAGAAGAAAGCUUGAAGUUUGAAGACACUAUGGAGCACAGGAAGAGCCCUCCUUUCACAGAAACACAAAAUUAUUUACAGCACAAUGACAUGACAAACACUAUAACAUCAGCAGAGCAGCAUUCUGAAGCUCAUGUAUUA